rnacentral:lncRNA from 1 species
CUUGUGUCAAUGAUUCUCAGACUAGAAAAAUGAAUAGGACAGAAGUUGAGUACGGGACAGUUUUUGAUUCUCAGCUAAAGAAAAAUGGGACUGGAAAUGAGUUUGUUUCCUGCAAUGGAUAUAGUGCAUAUCAUAGAAACCCUGAUGUCCGAGGAUCUCCAUACAGUGAUGAGAUGCCACGAGGAGAUAAUGGAUAUUUGCAGUAGAAACCCUGAUGUCCGAGGAUCUCCAUUCAGUGAUGAGAUGUCACGAGGAGAUAAUGGAUAUUUGCAUUCAGAUGUUGGACUGUUUGUAGGCCUUUCCGAAUGUGAUCCAGAUGU